CAGGGGAUGCAUGCAUCAGACUAGGGGUAUGCCAUGAAGAAAUACAUUGGGCUCAAGAUGGAAACCCAUCGCUGGUUGUGUUAAUCAUUCAAGAAAAGGGGGUGUCUGGAAACAUUGUGGGUGUUGUUGGCAAUGUCAUGGGAUUAUGAGCCUUUGAGGCCUAAAACACCUCUAGCCAAGAGAAAAUGGGGGGUAUGUGAAAGCAAAUCUGGGUUCACAACUUCUGAGGUCACAACUUCGCCGUGUUGGAAUUCACCAUCAACGGCGGCGGAGGUCAAAUCACCACCAAACUUAACUCAACCUAACCGUCUUCUCUCCCUCUUUCAUAAUCCCAUCCCAAUUCGUUUCAAUCCCUCAUCAAUUGUUCAAAUAAAAAGAAAAACAUGAACCCUAAAUUACCAAACAUAAAUUAAAAGCAUAUGGCAGAUAAAACUGAGUCCAAACCUUAGGGGUUUGGAUCGCUAGUGACAAAUCUACAUUAUGGUGACUAUUUUUGCAUGGAUCAAAGAGGAAAAGGAGAAGAGCUUACCUGCCGGAGUAGCUCCGACGGCUCUUCAAGCUUGGCGUUUGUCAGAGAUAUUGUUCUUCAGGGCUAACUUGGCUUGGCAUGAAGAUGAUGACAUGAGCAAAACAUGACUUUUGGUAUAAGGCUUGAACAUGGGCAAAACUUGGUAUGAUGCACCCUAAUGAAGAUUGGUGACUUGGAGAUCAAAGUGGGACCCAUGAAGAUGAAGAAGGUAAUAGGUCUAGGGUUAAGUUGACUUUGGUCAACCAUUUGACCAAAAAGUCAACAAUUGAUCAAAAGUCAACUUUAGGUCAAAAUUAGGGGUUUCUUCAUGUAAUCCCAAAUAUGCACUUGUAAUGUACUUUUUUGAUGUCUUGGAUGUAGAUUGACCAUUAUAUGUAACUUGACUUAUGCCCUAAGUAAAAUAUAACUUUUCCCUCCA